AAUAUGACAAUUGAAUAAGUGAAUACGAGAAAAAGAAUUCAGAUAUCAAAAGGUCACAUUGAUCUGAUCAGGAGUGCUAUGUAGAAUAAUGAUAAUAUCUUCAAUUCAAAAACACCUUGGAUAGCAUUUUUGUCUUGGUCAAUCUCUUCUAGAGCAGGUAUACAAAAUGCAGCAGUUUUGCCAGUUCCAUUUUUUGCUCUUGCAAGAAUGUCACUACCAUUUAAUGCAAUAAAUAGGAAUGCUUUCUUCUUGGAUAGGUGAAGGCCUUUCAAAUCCUUUCUCAUAUAUUCCCAUAAGUAGUUCAUGUUUCAGAAAAUAGUCUUCGAAUUCAUUUCCCUUGGCCGCAGUAACAUCUUCCUCCAUCCCUUUUUUUUAUUAGUAAUUUAUUAGUACUUCCAUCAGAGCAUCAGAGUGAUCCCUGUGUAAUUAUUAGUGCUAAUUUUUAAUAUUGUCAUUUAUUAGUGCUGAUUUUUAAUAUUGUCAUUGCUGAGUGAUCCCUGUGUAGCUUCAGAGCUUGUCUUUGCUGAGUGAUCCAUGAUUAAUAGUUGUAAGUUGUAUCUAUAUUUUCUUGGUGAAUUGAACAAGGUUUGGAAUGAAUUGAACAAGAUUUUACAUUUAUAAUGAUUUUUUUUGCCCUGAACCAGUACAACAGCAAACUAACAUGGAUUCCAAGGAGAUUUAGAAAUCUGGGCGUGCUUCUUUAGGCGAAAUAACAAACACAAGCACAGGUUCCUUGUGGGACUGAGAAGAAUCAGAAACCACCCAAAUGCUAAAAAAAUAUGCAAUUUACCUCAUCUUUGCCGACACAAGCUUGAUUGCCAGGUAAUCUGCUGUGUCUUCUUUUCCUGUUGUUGGGCUUGAGAUCUCAGUAACUUUCGGUGAUAUACGCAUUAAAUCAUAUGUUAUAUAGUUAUGUUAUAUAGUUAUGUUAAUCCGAUUUCUGUUGUCUGUGUUUGUAAGGAAGUUAUCCUGGUAGGUUCAAUUGUUUUUGCUGUUACAACUGGAUUUUCAAAAUUUAUGUGAUAUUUAAUUCCUUUCGUUAGCCCCACAAAUGCCACUAUGGAGCUUGCCCACCUUGCAAGCUGACCUGCGGGGAAGAACUUUCAUGUGGUCACACAUGUAAAGAAAGGUUUGUAUUUGAACUACAGGAAAUAUGUAAUUCAAUCGUAUUUGCACUUCUGUCUAUCAAGGAAUACCACCUCUGUUGUCUUACCGAUCUUCAUACACUAUCCACGUGUCAUGGCCCUAUUUCUCCUCCAAACCCUGAGUUCACACUGAAACCGACAAAAAAAGAGAAUGGGAUCUAUCAGUAAAGAGAACACACUUGCUGAGCCUUGUGAACAAUGUAAUCUUAAUUGUCAAAGGGUUAGAUACUCUCUUUUCCUUUUCAAAAACUUCUGUUUUGUUUGUUUUACGAAACUUAAUAUGAAGAAGAUACUGCGUUUUCAUAUGCUUUUAAGCUUGGUGCUGGAUAUUGACUACAAAUAUUUAUUUCAGGUUAGGUAGCCUCCUUGUUCACAUCCUGCCCUAGGCCAUGCCAUCUGAGCGAUUGUCCAUCUUGUCAAGUCCUUGUUAAAAGACCAUGCCAUUAUGGUGCUAUAGUGCAUGCUUUUGAGUGUGUAUAUUAUAACAGCUUAAAUUCUUUUCACUGUUGUUACUAAAUUCUGAUAAGAAAUUUCCAUAAGUUUAUUUGAUUUUGUCAAAGCAUUUGAGUGUUCGUUUUGAAUAGAAAACUACCAAAUUGCCGCCAUCAGUGCUCAGAAGUAUGUCACCCUGGUAUAUGCCCAUCGGUUGAUCAGUGCAUGAAAAACGUAUAUUACAAAGCUUUCUGCCGGAACUGUAGUAUAGUGAAAAUUGAUUUUUCUUAAUAGGUCAAUGCUGGUGUGCAUGCAACACUCUGAAACAAGAGUGGCUAUGUCAAGAUGUCCUCAAGGAAUACCGAAAGUUUGGUCCUGAUCCAAAAGAAGUACUUAAAAGUCAGUGUGGAGUUGGCUUACUUGCCUACGGUGAAAAUUGCAAGAAGAAGCUAAAGGCUCCAGAUUCAGAGUUGCAUCUCCGGAAAAGUCAGGAGAACAAGGUGGACAAGGACGCCCCCACCCUAGCCUGGGUUCUACUGGCAUUGCUCCAGCUCCAACACCUGUUGCUGCCUGCCCAUAGGUUUAGCCUUUCGACCGUGUGAGUUUCUAAGAUUUCACUCAUGGUUGUGUGAAGUAGCUUUAUUAGUGGUACUUUUGCCGGAAAUCUGAAGCUUUGCUAAGAAUGACUAUUUUUUACCGGAUGUUGGAGUAGGGUUAAUGGUCCUUCUAUAGUUUGGGGGAGUGAAUGUCAUUUGCUUUUAUGCCAGUGAACUAUUUGUUUCAGCCUGCAAUGAAUAAUGUGACUUAUUACCUUA